UUUCCAGAGAUGGAUUGGUGCCUUCGGGAACUGUGAGACAGGUGCUGCAUGGCUGUCGUCAGCUCGUGUUGUGAAAUGUUGGGUUAAGUCCCGCAACGAGCGCAACCCUUAUCCUUUGUUGCCAGCGGUUAGGCCGGGAACUCAAAGGAGACUGCCAGUGAUAAACUGGAGGAAGGUGGGGAUGACGUCAAGUCAUCAUGGCCCUUACGACCAGGGCUACACACGUGCUACAAUGGCGCAUACAAAGAGAAGCGACCUCGCGAGAGCAAGCGAACCUCAUAAAGUGCGUCGUAGUCCGGAUUGGAGUCUGCAACUCGACUCCAUGAAGUCGGAAUCGCUAGUAAUCGUGGAUCAGAAUGCCACGGUGAAUACGUUCCCGGGCCUUGUACACACCGCCCGUCACACCAUGGGAGUGGGUUGCAAAAGAAGUAGGUAGCUUAACCUUCGGGAGGGCGCUUACCACUUUGUGAUUCAUGACUGGGGUGAAGUCGUAACAAGGUAACCGUAGGGGAACCUGCGGUUGGAUCACCUCCUUACCUGAAAGAAGC
rnacentral:rRNA from 2 species